UAAUGGUUAAUUAAAUAUAGUAAAAAUGUUUGCUCAAAAUAUCAAGAUAUAAAUAAAUGAAAAAGAAUGAUGUCUUCUGUAUGUAUGUUCCUGUCAAAGAUUUCUUUUGAACUAUGCUGCAUAUCAUUUCCCAAAGAAAUUCGGAUGACUGAAUGCAUUCAGUUGAUGCACAAAGGAAGCUGAGAUAUUCUUUUUCUUUACAUCACUAAGCAUGAAUAGUCUUCCUACAUGACUGAGUUUCUAACGUCUUUAUAUGUUGAAAUGUAGCUGGAUUUAUUUACUUAUAAAUAUUCACUGAGAAAGAAAGCAUGCAUUGCAUAUAAUGGUUUUGAAAAUCUCACCCACUAAUUUUGAGAUUUGUCGCCGAAGUAUCGUAGGGCGUCGAUAUUGAAGUCCAACUCCAACUAAUGGUCACAAAUCGAUUGGAUUACAUGAUGUUCAAAAAUAUAUAUAUAUAUUUUUUUGUAUAUAAGAUUUUAAUUGAUUUUUUAUUAA